ACCGGUGUCGUCUAGUGGUUUAGGAUCCUGCAUUUUCAAUCUGCUAUGAAGAUCUGCAGUGGCCUGGGUUCAAUCCCCAGCACCGGUG